CCUACGGGAGGCUGCAUUGGGGAAUAUUGGACAAUGGGGGGAACCCUGAUCCAGCCAUGCCGCGUGUGUGAAGAAGGCCCUCGGGUUGUAAAGCACUUUCAGUGAGGAAGAACGCCUGGUGGUUAAUACCCAUCAGGAAAGACAUCACUCACAGAAGAAGCACCGGCUAACUCCGUGCCAGCAGCCGCGGUAAUACGGAGGGUGCGAGCGUUAAUCGGAAUUACUGGGCGUAAAGCGCGCGUAGGUGGCUUGAUAAGCCGGUUGUGAAAGCCCCGGGCUCAACCUGGGAACGGCAUCCGGAACUGUCAAGCUAGAGUGCAGGAGAGGAAGGUAGAAUUCCCGGUGUAGCGGUGAAAUGCGUAGAGAUCGGGAGGAAUACCAGUGGCGAAGGCGGCCUUCUGGACUGACACUGACACUGAGGUGCGAAAGCGUGGGUAGCAAACAGGAUUAGAUACCCCUGUAGUC
rnacentral:rRNA from 1 species